UGCGAGUCACGUAGCAAUACGUGGCAUACGGCUCAGUAACACGUAGUCAACACGCCCAGGGGACGUGGAUAACCUCGGGAAACUGAGGAUAAACCACGAUAGGCCAUGAUGUCUGGAAUGACUUAUGGCUCAAAUCUACACGGCCCCUGGAUUGGACUGCGGCCGAUCAGGCUGUUGGUGAGGUAAUGGCCCACCAAACCUAAAACCGGUACGGGCUCUGAGAGGAGAAGCCCGGAGAUGGGCACUGAGACAAGGGCCCAGGCCCUAUGGGGCGCAGCAGGCGCGAAAACUCUGCAAUAAGCGAAAGCUUGACAGGGUUAUUCUGAGUGAUUUCCGCUAAGGAAAUCUUUUGGCACCUCUAAAAAUGGUGCAGAAUAAGGGGUGGGCAAGCCUGGUGUCAGCCGCCGCGGUAAUACCAGCACCCCGAGUGGUCGGGACGAUUAUUGGGCCUAAAGCAUCCGUAGCCGGUUCUACAAGUCUUCCGUUAAAUCCAUCUGCUUAACAGAUGGGCUGCGGAGGAUACUAUGGAGCUAGGAGGCGGGAGAGGCAAGCGGUACUUAGUGGGUAGGGGUAAAAUCCGUUGAUCCACUGAAGACCACCAGUGGCGAAGGCGGCUUGCCAGAACGCGCUCGACGGUGAGGGAUGAAAGCUGGGGGAGCAAACCGGAUUAGAUACCCGGGUAGUCCCAGCUGUAAACGAUGCAGACUCGGUGAUGAAUAGGCUUCGUGCCUUUUCAGUGCCGCAGGAAGCCGUUAAGUCUGCCGCCUGGGGAGUACGGUCGCAAGACUGAAACUUAA
rnacentral:rRNA from 1 species